rnacentral:rRNA from 1 species
UAGGGAAUCUUCGGCAAUGGGGGCAACACUGACCGAGCAACGCCGCGUGAGUGAAGAAGGUUUUCGGAUCGUAAAGCUCUGUUGUAAGAGAAGAACGAGUGUGAGAGUGGAAAGUUCACACUGUGACGGUAACUUACCAGAAAGGGACGGCUAACUACGUGCCAGCAGCCGCGGUAAUACGUAGGUCCCGAGCGUUAUCCGGAUUUAUUGGGCGUAAAGCGAGCGCAGGCGGUUAGAUAAGUCUGAAGUUAAAGGCUGUGGCUUAACCAUAGUACGCUUUGGAAACUGUUUAACUUGAGUGCAGAAGGGGAGAGUGGAGUUCCAUGUGUAGCGGUGAAAUGCGUAGAUAUAUGGAGGAACACCGGUGGCGAAAGCGGCUCUCUGGUCUGUAACUGACGCUGAGGCUCGAAAGCGUGGGGAGCAAACAGGAUUAGAUACCCUGGUAGUCCACGCCGUAAACGAUGAGUGCUAGGUGUUGGGUCCUUUCCGGGACUCAGUGCCGCAGCUAACGCAUUAAGCACUCCGCCUGGGGAGUACGACCGCAAGGUU